rnacentral:rRNA from 1 species
UACAGAGGCCUCAAGCGUUGUUCGGAUUCAUUGGGCGGUAAAGGGUGUGUAGGUGGCGCGCUAAGUCGGGUGUUGAAAUUUCGGAGCUUAAACUCCGAAACUGCAUUCGAUACUGGCGUGCUUGAGGACUGGAGAGGAGACUGGAAUUCAUGGUGUAGCAGUGAAAUGCGUAGAGAUCAUGAGGAAGACCAGUGGCGAAGGCGGGUCUCUGGACAGUUCCUGACACUGAGACACGAAGGCCAGGGGAGCAAACGGG